CCAACACAAAAACAAUUCUUGAAUAACAUAAGUUUUGAAUUUUUGAUUGUAGGAGAUAUGCAAGAAUGCACCUGUGACUACUUUGUACUUACUACAAAACUUUUAGAAGCACUGGUGCUCUGGGCUGUUACUUAGGUAAGGGGCAGCCAAUGACUGGACCCAGGGUGAACAUUUGAACCACGGGAAGCCAGCCCACAGGCCACCUGCAGACCAGGAAGCAGUCUCUGGAAGAAGAAGAAAUUUAAAAAUACAAAAAGCAAAGCAGUGAGGAUUAUUUAGAAAGAGUCAUGUUUAGAUCUCAUGUUUUCUAGCACAUUCCAAUUAACUCACUUAACAACAAGAGUCAAUAAACCAUUAACACAUUAUAACAAUCUAUACUUGCUUCAUGAGUCUUUGAACAUUU
rnacentral:lncRNA from 1 species